rnacentral:rRNA from 1 species
GCCAGCCGCCGCGGGAACACCGGCGGCCCGAGUGGUGAUCGUGAUUAUUGGGUCUAAAGGGUCCGUAGCCGGUUUGGUCAGUCCUCCGGGAAAUCUGAUAGCUCAACUAUUAGGCUUUCGGGGGAUACUGCCAGACUUGGAACCGGGAGAGGUAAGAGGUACUACAGGGGUAGGAGUGAAAUCUUGUAAUCCCUGUGGGACCACCUGUGGCGAAGGCGUCUUACCAGAACGGGUUCGACGGUGAGGGACGAAAGCUGGGGGCACGAACCGGAUUAGAUACCCGGGUAGUCCCAGCCGUAAACGAUGCUCGCUAGGUGUCAGGCAUGGCGCGACCGUGUCUGGUGCCGCAGGGAAGCCGUGAAGCGAGCCACCUGGGAAGUACGGCCGCAAGGCUGAAACUUAAAGGAAUUGGCGGGGGAGCACAACAACGGGUGGAAGCCUGCGGUUUAAUUGGACUCAACGCCGGACAACUCACCGGGGGCGACAGCAAUAUGUAGGCCAAGCUGAAGACUUUGCCUGAAUCGCUGAGGGGUGGUGCAUGG